rnacentral:rRNA from 1 species
UACGUAGGGGGCGAGCGUUGUCCGGAAUUACUGGGCGUAAAGGGCGUGUAGGCGGUUAAUUAAGUCAGGUGUGAAAACGUAGGGCUUAACCUUACGAUUGCAUCUGAAACUGGUUAACUUGAGGGUAGGAGAGGAAAGUGGAAUUCCUAGUGUAGCGGUGAAAUGCGUAGAUAUUAGGAGGAACACCAGUGGCGAAGGCGACUUUCUGGCCUAACCCUGACGCUGAGGCGCGAAAGCGUGGGUAGCAAACAGGAUUAGAUACCCUGGUAGUCCACGCCGUAAACGAUGGGUACUAGGUGUAGGAGGUAUCGACCCCUUCUGUGCCGUAGCAAACGCAAUAAAUACCCCGCCUGGGGAGUACGUACGCAAGUAUGAA